CUACACUGCCAUGGACUACCUCUGUGCAGGCAAAGUGCAGGGAAUCUUAUGUAAGAAGUGGGAAAUAGUUAGAUCUGGAGAGGACAGGAACCCCACAAGGAGAGCAACAGAACCAGAAAUUUUGAACACAGGGAACUUCCCAGAGACUCAUACUCCAACCAAGUACCAGGCAUGGAGAUAACCUAGAACCCAUCUUGCUUCUUAAGGACCAACUGCACAUCACAGUAAAGGCAGCAAGUAUUCUUCAGUGUCCGGGAACUUCACGUUGUCCUUGGGAGCAUGUAGCAAGGAGCAUAUCUUCCAAGAAUUUGAGGCCUUUGCUCACCUGGACUACUCUCCCAGAUGUUAGACUGCUCUGUCCAUUAUUCCAGAACUGAGUCAUGUUUUUGCUAUCAGAUGAUUCAGUGGAGGCUCAGAAAGGCCUAGAAGUCUGUCUGAGAUGACGCCGACUGUCGCCAGCCCGAAGAGAAGCUAGACAUAAAGGAACAGUGUCGUGAAUACAUCUGUGAGUGUGCACAGCACACACCCUUCUCUGUCUGCCUUUUCCCCUGGUUCCUUCUUCACAAGGUUGUUUGUUAUUCUGACAGUAUGUCCUUUUGUCUAAUAUUGACAUUAAAGUAUCUUUCAAGA